GAAGAAAAAAGAGAAGACAAAAAUUAUAGCUGUAAUACUGUAUCAGAAUGUUGACUGACACUUUCGAUUGUCACAGGACUGCAGCUAAGGUCUGGGGAUCUAAAGAGAGCUAUUAGUUGGGUACAGUGGCGCAUACCUUUUAUCCCAGUGACUCAGGAGGCUGAGUCAGAAUGAUCACAAGUUCAAAGCCAGACUCAGUAAUUUAGCAAGGUCCUCAUUGACUUAUUGAGACCCUCUCUCAAAAAAUAAAAAGGGCUGGGGAUAUAGCUCAGUGGUAAAGUGCCCCUGGGUUCAAUCCUUAGUACCAAGGGCAGGGGCAGGGUGCAAGCUGUCAACCGACCUAUGACAGCUGGAGCCAUGGAGCUUAAUGAAGAUCCACAGGAUGGCAGGCCCCUGGAGGCCUUGUUGGCCUUGUCUAUGAGCAGAUUGACCUUUACCUUGAGGGAAACACAACACUGUAACGGACCCAGUGUGAUUCCUCUUCGUACUUGGCACUAGCCCAGUGCUGGAUGUAGAGAAUGGGCUCAGGAAUUGUUGGGCUAAAAGGAGCCUUAUGAUAUUGACAGCCAUUGUUCUAAGAGUUUUACAUUCAUAAUACAUUUAUUCCUCCAAGAUAAGGCUAUCAUUUAUGCUUGAAAGAAAAGGAACUGAGCCUUUGAGAAGUUUGUCCAACACCUGCCUAAGUCCAAAGCCCAGGUUCUUCUCUGUACUCUGCAGUCCAUUAAUGUGGCCUCUAUGCAUUGCACAUGAACACAUACUGAAAGGCUAAACAGACACACAUCAAAUUUAACACUCCCAUAGAGCAACCUUUAAGAAAUGGGAAGUUCAGAGAGGAAGAAAAUACAAUAAUAUGCUAGAUGUUGUUUAUAAAAACAGCUUCUCCCAGAUUGCAAUAAAACACAGAGACAUUCACUUUCUGGUUCCAUUGAAAUAGCAAUGCUGACAUGGUCAUCCUGCCAGAGCCUAUCAGAUGUGGCUAAAUGCAAGGGUUUGGCAUCCUCUGCAGACAACUAUAGGACUAUUGGGGCCUUUAUUAACCACGUCUGCCCAGCCAAGAACGCUGAUAGACAAAUCAUAGAAAGGGAAAUACAAAUGACUAAGAAACAU
rnacentral:lncRNA from 1 species